AGGGUUCUGGAAUGUUGGUUUUCAAAUGUUAGUGUUUUGAAAUGUCAGUGUUCUGGAAUGUCAGGGUUCUGGAAUGUUGGUUUUGAAAUGUUAGUGUUCCGGAAUGUCAGUUUUCCAGAACAUUAGGGUUCUGGAAUAUUGGUUUCGGAAUGUCAGUGUUUUGAAAUGUCAAUGUACCGGAAUGUCAGUAUACCGGAAUGUUAGGGUUCUAGAAUGUCGGUUUUUGAAAUGUCAGUGUUUUAAUAUGUCAGAUUUGAAAUAGCAGUGUUUUGAAAAUGUCAGUGUACCGGAAUGUCAGUUUUCCAGAACGUUAGGGUUCUGGAAUAUUGGUUUUGAAAUGUCAGUGUUUUGAAAUGUCAGUGUACCAGAAUGUCAGUAUUCCGGAAUGUUAGGGUUCUAGAAUGUCGUUCUUGAAAUGUCACUGUUCCGCAAUGUCAAAGUUUUAAAUGUCAGUGUUUUAAAACAUCAGUGUUCCGGAAUGUCACGGUUCCAGAAGGUCGGUUUUGAAAUGUCAGUGUUCCGAUAUUUCAAAGUUUUAAAUGUCAGUGUUUUGAAUGUCAGUGAUCGGGAUGUCAUGGAUUCGGAAUGUUGGUUUUGAAAUGUCAGUGUUUUGGAAUGUCAGUGUUCCAGAAUGUUGGUUUUGAAAUGUCAGUGAAUUGAAAUGUCAGUGUUCUGGAAUGUCAGGGUUCUGGAAUUUUGGUUUUGAAAUGUCAGUGUUCCGGAAUGUCAGGGUUAUAGAAUGCCGUUUUUUUAAAUGACAGUUUUGAAAUGUCAGUGUUUUUAAAUGUCAGUGUACUAGAAUGUCAGGGUUCCGGAAUGUAAGGGUUCUAGAAUGUUGGUUUUUUAAAUGUCAAUUUUGAAAUGUCAGGGUUCUGGAAUGUCAGGGUUCGAGAAUGUUGGUUUUGAAAUGUCAGUAUUUUAAAAUUGCAGUUAUCUGGCAUGAAAGGGGUUCUAGAAUUUCAGUUUUGAAAUGUCAGUGUAUUGAAAUUCCGGAGUUCCAGAAUCUUAGGGUUCUAGAAUGUCGGUUUUAAACUCUCAGUGUUUUAAAAUGUUGGUGUUCCGGAAUGUCAGUAUUCCAGAAUCUUAGGGUUCUAGAAUGUCGGUUUUAAACUGUCAGUAUUCCGAAAUGUCAUGGUUCUAAAAUGUUAGUUUUGAUAAGUCAUUGUUUUGAAAUGUCAGUGUUCCGAUAUUUCAAAGUUUUAAAUGUCAGUGAUCGGGAUGUCAUGGAUUCGGAAUGUUGGUUUUGAAAUGUCAGUGUUUUGGAAUGUCAGUGUUCCAGAAUGUUGGUUUUGAAAUGUCAGUGAAUUGAAAUGUCAGUGUUCUGGAAUGUCAGGGUUCUGGAAUUUUGGUUUUGAAAUGUCAGUGUUCCGGAAUGUCAGGGUUAUAGAAUGCCGUUUUUUAAAUGACUGUUUUGAAAUGUCAGUGUUUUUAAAUGUCAGUGUACUAGAAUGUCAGGGUUCCGGAAUGUAAGGGUUCUAGAAUGUUGGUUUUUUAAAUGUCAAUUUUGAAAUGUCAGGGUUCUGGAAUGUCAGGGUUCGAGAAUGUUGGUUUUGAAAUGUCAGUAUUUUAAAAUUGCAGUUAUCUGGCAUGAAAGGGGUUCUAGAAUUUCAGUUUUGAAAUGUCAGUGUAUUGAAAUUCCGGAGUUCCAGAAUCUUAGGGUUCUAGAAUGUCGGUUUUAAACUCUCAGUGUUUUAAAAUGUUGGUGUUCCGGAAUGUCAGUAUUCCAGAAUCUUAGGGUUCUAGAAUGUCGGUUUUAAACUGUCAGUAUUCCGAAAUGUCAUGGUUCUAAAAUGUUGGUUUUGAUAAGUCAUUGUUUUGAAAUGUCAGUGUUCCGGAAUGUCAGGGUUUUAGACUGUCGGUUUUGAAAUGUCAGUGUUCCAGAAUGUUGGUUUUGAAAUGUCAUUGUUUUGAAAUGUCAGUGUCACAGAAUGUCAGUGUUCUUGAAUGUUGGUUCUAAGCUGUCAGUGUUCCUGAAUGUCAGGGUUCUAGAAUUUUGGUUUUGUAAUGUCAGUGUUCCGAAAUGUCAGCAUUUUAAAAUCUCAGUGUUCCAAAAUGUCAGGGUUCUAGGAUGUCGAUUUUGAAAUGUCAGCGUUCCCAAUUGUCAGUGAUCUAAAAUGUUAUUUAAAAAUUUGAGUGUUUUGAAGUGUCGGUUUUCUGGAAUGUCAGGGUUCUGGAAUAUUGGUUUUGAAAUGUCAGUUUUGAAAUGUCAGUGUUCCGGAGUGUCAGGGUUCUAGAAUGUUGGUUAUACAAUGUCAGUAUUUUGAAAUUUCAGUGAUCUGGAAUGAAAGGGGUUCUAGAAUGUCAGUUUUGAAAUGUCAGUGUUUUCAAUUGUCAGUGUUCCAGGAUGUCAGGGUUCUAGAAUGUCGUUUUUGAAAUGUCAGUGUUCUAAUAUGUCAGUUUUGAAAUGACAGUGUUCUAGGAUUUAAGGGUUCUAGAAUGUUGGUUUUGAAAUGUAAGUGUUUUGAAAUGUCACUGUUCCGCAAUGUCAAAGUUUUAAAUGUCAGUGUUUUAAAAUAUCAGUUUUCCGGAAUGUCACGGUUCCAGAAGGUCGGUUUUGAAAUGUCAGUGUUUCGAUAUUUCAAAGUUUUAAAUGUCAGUGUUUUGAAGUGUCAGUGAUCGGGAUUUCAUGGAUUCGGAAUGUUGGUUUUGAAAUGUCAGUGUUUUCGAAUGUCAGUGUUCCGGAAUGUCAGGCUUCUAGGAUGUUUGUUUUGAAAUGUCAGUGUUCCGGAAUGUCAGGGUUCUAGCAUGCGGAUUUUUAAACGUCAGUUUUGAAAUCUCAAUGUUCUGGAAUGUCAGGGUUUUUGAGUGUUGGUUUUGAAAUGUCAGUGUUCCAGAAUGUUGGUUUUGAAAUGUCAUUGUUUUGAAAUUUCAGUGUCACAGAAUGUCAGUGUUCAAGAAUGUUGGUUCUAAGCUGUCAGUGUUCCUGAAUGUCAGGGUUCUAGAAUUUUGGUUUUGUAACGUCAGUGUUCCGAAAUGUCAGUGUUCUGGAAUGUCAGGGUUCUGGAAUGUUGGUUUUCAAAUGUUAGUGUUUUGAAAUGUCAGUGUUCUGGAAUGUCAGGGUUCUGGAAUGUUGGUUUUGAAAUGUUAGUGUUCCGGAAUGUCAGUUUUCCAGAACAUUAGGGUUCUGGAAUAUUGGUUUCGAAAUGUCAGUGUUUUGAAAUGUCAAUGUACCGGAAUGUCAGUAUACCGGAAUGUUAGGGUUCUAGAAUGUCGUUUUUGAAAUGUCAGUGUUUUAAUAUGUCAGAUUUCAAAUAGCAGUGUUUUGAAAAUGUCAGUGUACCGGAAUGUCAGUUUUCCAGAACGUUAGGGUUCUGGAAUAUUGGUUUUGAAAUGUCAGUGUUUUGAAAUGUCAGUGUACCAGAAUGUCAGUAUUCCGGAAUGUUAGGGUUCUAGAAUGUCGUUCUUGAAAUGUCACUGUUCCGCAAUGUCAAAGUUUUAAAUGUCAGUGUUUUAAAACAUCAGUGUUCCGGAAUGUCACGGUUCCAGAAGGUCGGUUUUGAAAUGUCAGUGUUCCGAUAUUUCAAAGUUUUAAAUGUCAGUGUUUUGAAAUGUCAGUGAUCGGGAUGUCAUGGAUUCGGAAUGUUGGUUUUGAAAUGUCAGUGUUUUGGAAUGUCAGUGUUCCAGAAUGUUGGUUUUGAAAUGUCAGUGAAUUGAAAUGUCAGUGUUCUGGAAUGUCAGGGUUCUGGAAUUUUGGUUUUGAAAUGUCAGUGUUCCGGAAUGUCAGGGUUAUAGAAUGCCGUUUUUUAAAUGACAGUUUUGAAAUGUCAGUGUUUUUAAAUGUCAGUGUACUAGAAUGUCAGGGUUCCGGAAUGUAAGGGUUCUAGAAUGUUGGUUUUUUAAAUGUCAAUUUUGAAAUGUCAGGGUUCUGGAAUGUCAGGGUUCGAGAAUGUUGGUUUUGAAAUGUCAGUAUUUUAAAAUUGCAGUUAUCUGGCAUGAAAGGGGUUCUAGAAUUUCAGUUUUGAAAUGUCAGUGUAUUGAAAUUCCGGAGUUCCAGAAUCUUAGGGUUCUAGAAUGUCGGUUUUAAACUCUCAGUGUUUUAAAAUGUUGGUGUUCCGGAAUGUCAGUAUUCCAGAAUCUUAGGGUUCUAGAAUGUCGGUUUUAAACUGUCAGUAUUCCGAAAUGUCAUGGUUCUAAAAUGUUAGUUUUGAUAAGUCAUUGUUUUGAAAUGUCAGUGUUCCGAUAUUUCAAAGUUUUAAAUGUCAGUGUUUUGAAAUGUCAGUGAUCGGGAUGUCAUGGAUUCGGAAUGUUGGUUUUGAAAUGUCAGUGUUUUGGAAUGUCAGUGUUCCAGAAUGUUGGUUUUGAAAUGUCAGUGAAUUGAAAUGUCAGUGUUCUGGAAUGUCAGGGUUCUGGAAUUUUGGUUUUGAAAUGUCAGUGUUCCGGAAUGUCAGGGUUAUAGAAUGCCGUUUUUUAAAUGACAGUUUUGAAAUGUCAGUGUUUUUAAAUGUCAGUGUACUAGAAUGUCAGGGUUCCGGAAUGUAAGGGUUCUAGAAUGUUGGUUUUUUAAAUGUCAAUUUUGAAAUGUCAGGGUUCUGGAAUGUCAGGGUUCGAGAAUGUUGGUUUUGAAAUGUCAGUAUUUUAAAAUUGCAGUUAUCUGGCAUGAAAGGGGUUCUAGAAUUUCAGUUUUGAAAUGUCAGUGUAUUGAAAUUCCGGAGUUCCAGAAUCUUAGGGUUCUAGAAUGUCGGUUUUAAACUCUCAGUGUUUUAAAAUGUUGGUGUUCCGGAAUGUCAGUAUUCCAGAAUCUUAGGGUUCUAAGAUGUCGGUUUUAAACUGUCAGUAUUCCGAAAUAUCAUGGUUCUAAAAUGUUAGUUUUGAUAAGUCAUUGUUUUGAAAUGUCAGUGUUCCGGAAUGUCAGGGUUUUAGACUGUCGGUUUUGAAAUGUCAGUGUUCCAGAAUGUUGGUUUUGAAAUGUCAUUGUUUUGAAAUGUCAGUGUCACAGAAUGUCAGUGUUCUUGAAUGUUGGUUCUAAGCUGUCAGUGUUCCUGAAUGUCAGGGUUCUAGAAUUUUGGUUUUGUAAUGUCAGUGUUCCGAAAUGUCAGCAUUUUAAAAUCUCAGUGUUCCAAAAUGUCAGGGUUCUAGGAUGUCGAUUUUGAAAUGUCAGCGUUCCCAAUUGUCAGUGAUCUAAAAUGUUAUUUUAAAAUUUGAGUGUUUUGAAGUGUCGGUUUUCUGGAAUGUCAGGGUUCUGGAAUAUUGGUUUUGAAAUGUCAGUUUUGAAAUGUCAGUGUUCCGGAGUGUCAGGGUUCUAGAAUGUUGGUUAUACAAUGUCAGUAUUUUGAAAUUUCAGUGAUCUGGAAUGAAAGGGGUUCUAGAAUGUCAGUUUUGAAAUGUCAGUGUUUUCAAUUGUCAGUGUUCCAGGAUGUCAGGGUUCUAGAAUGUCGUUUUUGAAAUGUCAGUGUUCUAAUAUGUCAGUUUUGAAAUGACAGUGUUCUAGGAUUUAAGGGUUCUAGAAUGUUGGUUUUGAAAUGUAAGUGUUUUGAAAUGUCACUGUUCCGCAAUGUCAAAGUUUUAAAUGUCAGUGUUUUAAAAUAUCAGUUUUCCGGAAUGUCACGGUUCCAGAAGGUCGGUUUUGAAAUAUCAGUGUUCCGAUAUUUCAAAGUUUUAAAUGUCAGUGUUUUGAAAUGUCAGUGAUCGGGAUUUCAUGGAUUUGGAAUGUUGGUUUUGAAAUGUCAGUGUUUUCGAAUGUCAGUGUUCCGGAAUGUCAGGCUUCUAGGAUCUUUGUUUUGAAAUGUCAGUGUUCCGGAAUGUCAGGGUUCAAGCAUGCGGAUUUUUAAACGUCAGUUUUGAAAUCUCAAUGUUCUGGAAUGUCAGGGUUUUGGAAUGUUGGUUUUGAAAUGUCAGUGUUCCAGAAUGUUGGUUUUGAAAUGUCAUUGUUUAUAAAUUUCAGUGUCACAGAAUAUCAGUGUUCAAGAAUGUUGGUUCUAAGCUGUCAGUGUUCCUGAAUGUCAGGGUUCUAGAAUUUUGGUUUUGUAACGUCAGUGUUCCGAAAUGUCAGUGUUCUGGAAUGUCAGGGUUCUGGAAUGUUGGUUUUCAAAUGUUAGUGUUUUGAAAAGUCAGUGUUCUGGAAUGUCAGGGUUCUGGAAUGUUGGUUUUGAAAUGUUAGUGUUCCGGAAUGUCAGUUUUCCAGAACAUUAGGGUUCUGGAAUAUUGGUUUUGAAAUGUCAGUGUUUUGAAAUGUCAAUGUACCGGAAUGUCAGUAUUCCGGAAUGUUAGGGUUCUAGAAUGUCGUUUUUGAAAUGUCAGUGUUCUAAUAUGUCAGAUUUGAAAUGUCAGUGUUUUGAAAAUGUCAGUGUACUGGAAUUUCAGUUUUCCAGAACGUUAGGGUUCUGGAAUAUUGGUUUUGAAAUGUCAGUGUUUUGAAAUGUCAGUGAACAUGAAUGUCAGUAUUCCGGAAUGUUAGGGUUGUAGAAUGUCAUUCUUGAAAUGUCACUGUUCCGCAAUGUCAAAGUUUUAAAUGUCAGUGUUUUAAAACAUCUGUGUUCCGGAAUGUCACGGUUCCAGAAGGUCGGUUUUGAAAUGUCAGUGUUCCGAUAUUUCAAAGUUUUAAAUGUCAGUGUUUUGAAAUGUCAGUGAUCGGGAUGUCAUGGAUUCGGAAUGUUGGUUUUGAAAUGUCAGUGUUUUGGAAUGUCAGGCUUCUAGGAUGUUUGUUUUGAAAUGUCAGUGAAUUGAAAUGUCAGUGUUCUGGAAUGUCAGGGUUCUGGAAUUUUGGUUUUGAAAUGUCAGUGUUCCGGAAUGUCAGGGUUAUAGAAUGCCGUUUUUUAAAUGACAGUUUUGAAAUGUCAGUGUUUUUAAAUGUCAGUGUACUAGAAUGUCAGGGUUCCGGAAUGUAAGGGUUCUAGAAUGUUGGUUUUUUAAAUGUCAAUUUUGAAAUGUCAGUGUUCUGGAAUGUCAGGGUUCGAGAAUGUUGGUUUUGAAAUGUCAGUAUUUUAAAAUUGCA